rnacentral:snoRNA from 1 species
AAGACUAUACUUUCAGGCAUCAUUUCUAUAGUUUGUUACUAAGAGAAGUUUCUCUGAACAUGUAGAGCACUGGAAACCAUGGGGAAGAGAGGCAGUGUUCUCUCCUGAGGGUGAAAUUGGCUCUUAGUGUUGCCUCUACCACUGCCAUGUGUCAUCGAUGAUCUUUCUUCUCUUCCUUUGUGAGAGGGAGGAGGAGAGUGGCUUUGUGAGAGAGAGCCCACUGAGUGGC